rnacentral:rRNA from 1 species
UACAGAGGUCCCAAGCGUUGUUCGGAUUCAUUGGGCGUAAAGGGUGCGUAGGCGGUUUUGUAAGUAGGGUGUGAAAGCCCCCGGCCCAACCGGGGAAUUGCGCCCUAAACUGCAAGGCUGGAGUGAGGUAGGGGUGUGUGGAACUUCUAGUGGAGCGGUGAAAUGUGUUGAUAUUAGAAGGAACGCCGGUGGCGAAAGCGACACACUGGACCUUGUCUGACGCUGAGGCACGAAAGCCAGGGGAGCAAACGGG